UGGGGAAUUUUGGACAAUGGGCGAAAGCCUGAUCCAGCAAUGCCGCGUGUGUGAAGAAGGCCCUCGGGUUGUAAAGCACUUUUGUCCGGAAAGAAAUCCUCUGGGUUAAUACCUCGGGGGGAUGACGGUACCGGAAGAAUAAGCACCGGCUAACUACGUGCCAGCAGCCGCGGUAAUACGUAGGGUGCAAGCGUUAAUCGGAAUUACUGGGCGUAAAGCGUGCGCAGGCGGUUUUGUAAGACGGAUGUGAAAUCCCCGGGCUUAACCUGGGAACUGCAUUCGUGACUGCAAGGCUAGAGUAUGGCAGAGGGGGGUAGAAUUUCACGUGUAGCAGUGAAAUGCGUAGAGAUGUGGAGGAAUACCGAUGGCGAAGGCAGCCCCCUGGGCCAAUACUGACGCUCAUGCACGAAAGCGUGGGGAGCAAACAGGAUUAGAUACCCUGGUAGUCCACGCCCUAAACGAUGUCAACUAGUUGUUGGGGAUUCAUUUCCUUAGUAACGUAGCUAACGCGUGAAGUUGACCGCCU
rnacentral:rRNA from 1 species